GUGAGGCUAGAGCGGGGCUCUUCCCCCCGUCCCCAGUGUCCUCUUUUUUGCUUGUGGAAAUAUGGUAACCCUAGUGUUUCCUGGCUUUACUGAAGGGAUUAGUUGAGAAAAAUAUAGCUCGUAUAGCCAGGUGAACACUGGAAGGAACAUGCCUAAGCAACUGGAGGCUGAGGAGGGCUGAGAUACUGGUUCCAGGAUCUUAGCAGCUGGGCUGUGGGGUCCCACUAUCCAAGAAGGGUCUCAGACACUGGGCUGUGUAUCUGGGUGCUUGCCUGCGAGACCCAGAGCUAGGGAUAAUGACCAGUCACUUAACAGCACUUCAGCUUCAGCAGUUGCCAUCACAGAUUGGAGUCCGUACAAAGAGAUACAGACUGAUCCAGGUGAUAAUAAAGGCUAUACUAAGUUUGUUGAACUGUAUUCCUAACUCUUCCUAUGGUAGUCCCAUCAUGUAUAAAGAGCCAAGGAGUGAAAAGCGUAGAAUUGUGCAUAACUUUCUUUUUUUUUAAAGUUGUGGUUAAUUGCACAACAUUCUGAAACACUACGAGUGCAGAAAUAACUUCCCCCUGCAUCCAACUUUUCUUGCUGCUUUAUUAUGUCAAUAUGUAUGAAUAAACUGUGAGCUUGACAGGAUGGCAGUGUCAACAUGGGAGACUUUUUGCUUUGUCUGUCUUUAGAUCAUGUGUUUAAUAAAAAUAGUCUUGCUGGCUGAUGUGUGCUAAAAAUGGGAUUUUGAAUGCACUUACCAUUGGCUUAACUCUAAUCCCAGUGAAAUCAGUGAUAAAACUCCCCUUCAUUUCCAUGGGAGCAAAGUUAGACCAACACUGACUGCUUUUGAAAAAUGUAACCCCAAAGUAAUAUAAAAAUGUUCAUUUUGAUAGAUAUAAGAAGGGAAGGUCCUUAUUAGACCAAGUUAAAAAUGCCAUUUUUUCUCUUGCAAAAAAACUGAAAACAAAUCAACCAAAAAACCCCCCUGAAAAUUUUACAUUUUGAUCAUUUUUAUUUUUCAUUUCGUAGCUCUGCUCCUCAUUAAUUGUGUGUCGCUCUAGCAGCAUAUUAGGCACUAUGAGUGCCUAAUACGUGUGAGUUAGUUACUGUGGAAUAAUAGAUCAGCAGUUCUCAAACUGUGGGUUGGGACCCUAAGUGGGUCAUGACCCUGUUUUAAUGGGGUCACCAGGGCUGGUUUAAAUUUGCGGGGAUGGCGGGGCUCAGGUUACAGGCCCCAUGCCUAGGGCUGAAGCUCUUGGGCUUAGGCUUUGGCCCCCCACACCAGGGGUGGCGGGGUUUGGACAGGCUCAGGCUUCUGUCUCCCCUCCUGGGGUUGCGUAGUAAUUUUUGUUGUCAGAAGGGGGCCGCGAUGCAAUGAAGUUUGGGAACCCCUGGAAUAGAUCCUUCAGAGAGGAGCUAAAAGUUAUAUAGUCUCUGUGCUUCACUACCCAUUUCAGAGUGGCAAUGGUUAGUUAAGAUAAGAUCUCCACUCUAUUUUUUUUUAAUCUAAUAAGAGGUACAAGAGAGUGGAAAAUACUAGUCUUUUGUACUUUAAAUAACAAAAAUUGAGCCAGUCACAUGACAGGCACGAACAGGAUCAAAUUACAACAGAGAUGUAAAAAGUCAGCAGCUCUGAGAGUAUUGGGAAAAGCAAAAUCUCUGUAAAAGUAAAUAUGGGUUAGGGUUUCAAGGCAAUGUGCCAAAUUCACCCCUAGCGUAUUCACUGUGUGCUAUGGAGUCCAAAUAAAAACCGAUAUUCUCUCUCUUGAAUGAUAGACCCGGAUUUCCAAGUUAAACAUAUUCUGGUCAGAAGGGGGAUCCCACACAGGUUGCAAAUAAUACCACAUGUAUCUGUGCUAGAAUGUGGAUUUCUGAGCUCUUUUUUUUUCUUUUUCUUCUUGCAGAUGAACAGCUCUUGCGACUGCAGCCCUCUAUCUAUCCCCGCAAAUCCAUAUAGGACCAAAGAGGCGGUGGAACCUUCAUCAGUGAGAACAUUGUGACUGACUCUGGAAAGGCUUACUCUGUGAAUUAAGGAAUGAGGCGACGAGAGGCCCAGCUGUUCUAGGAAAAGUACAAGUCGAGUCAGCAGCUGUGAAUUCCAGUUCUAGGAGUUGCAGUUGUGGGUCCUGGUGGAAACUUCCUGGAAUUCUCUCUGCCAUUCGAAGGAAAGCAAAAUAACUAUUUCAGUGACCUUAAACUCCCAGAGACUUAGGAGCAAGAGUUUGGAGGCAGCAGAGAUAGAAAGGGUUAAUAUUUUUCUCCUGUAAUUCAGUAGGUUGUUUGGCUUUUAUAUUUUAUUUAACGUCAGGGCAACUGGCAUGAGAAAGCGAGCAAGAGAGCUCGCGCCACAGACAGAAGAAGAUAGCUGUAGUGACCACAGGAAUUUUUAAAAGGGAGGUACGGUAAAAAGGUCAGAGUUUUCAGUCAUCAGCCACAACCUCUUUGUGAAAGGUCAGUGUCUGUGUCAGACCUGGGAGACACCCAUAACCAACCUCACACAACCACAGGGCCAUGAAUAAAAGGACUCAGAAAGCCACCAACAGAAAAUGGUGCUGUUGUGUAAGCUGUAACUCAAGACAGCAGGUGCCACCUGGCAUUAUGUUGCCUCUGUUAAUUGUUCACCCAUUCUGAGCCCAGUCAGGGAUUUGUCACUUGCUCUCUCCAAACAGGAAAUGAUGGGGAGAUUUCUCCAGUAACCGUGCAAAGCAAUUAAGGAAACAGACUCAGCAUGGCAUGUAUAAAGUAACCCUGUUUUCCUCACUGUCGGCAGCCAUACGCACAUCUGCUCCUCAGUCUGGGGGAGGAGUGUUCUCACCAUCCUGAGUUAUCUUAAUAGUCCAUCUCCCUUCUGUGCAGCACCACGUAGGCACCAUGUUUGACUUAAAAUCAGCAGUGGCAUUAGGGGGGAAAAGUUUGACAAGUGGGCAUUCAGCUCAAAAGCACUGUCAUAGGUUACAUGCAGCCCUGUUACAAGUGUACACAUUAGUACCUAUUUUUCUUCUCUUACAAGUUUUAACUCCCAAAGGGUCGGCAGCCCCUCUUAACAGAUUCUGAAAGAGAUACUUUAGCUCUGCCAUAGGUUAUUGAGCUUGAGGCAGGAAUUACGGUUUGAAAUUCUCUGGCCUAUGUUAUGCAAGAGGUCAAACUAGAUGCUCAGAAUAGUCCCUUCCAGCCUUAAUAUCAAAGGAUCUAUUCAUUUAACCUGGCUGUUUCCACUCAGCACUUGUUCCUUAGUUUACAUUUGCCCCCCAGUCACCCUUUGUGGGUCAGAUGAUAGAUUUUGGGGACUUCACAUCCAAACCGAGACCUUAACCCCCUUCUUGCAUUUCAUUGUGUGUCUGUACAUAAUGGGAUGGGUUUGCUAUGAGAUGGCAACUGACACUAGACAAACUCGGGCUGGAAAUAAGGUAUACAUUUGUAACAGUGAAGGUAAUUAAUCAUUGGAACAACUUAACCAGGAUCGUGGUGGAUUCUCCAUCACUUGCAAUUUUUAAAUUAAAAUUGGAUUUAAAAAAAAAAAAGAUCUGCUCUAGUUUGAAAUGAAUUAUUAUGGGGAAGUCCUGUGCUAUACAGAAGGUCAGACUGGAUGAUCAGAGCGGUCCCUUCUGGCCUUGGAAUUGCAUUUCACUGCAGCUAAAUGAGAACCCAGGCUCCUUGUGGCAUCCUAGGCAGCAGUUCUACUAGGUGAACCAAAGGGCACCCUCCCAUUGGUCAAGCCAGCAGGAGCCAUGCUGAGCUGCUGUCAGGAGAAGCAGCUCAUGCAUUCUGGGUCUUCACUCUUUCCCCUUCAUUAUUUUCUCCCUAAUGUGCUCAGAUACCACAGUGAUGUGAGCUUGAUUGAUAACGAUGCUGUGGCGCACCUCCUUUGUGGCACACCUCUCCCGAGUCUGUGCUGCUGCUGAGUUGGUGCAAUGCCCAGUAUAAGGGGCUGCUUUCACCUAUAUCACAAAAGCUGUUGAUGGACUGUGUUAGACUAGAAUCUUCAUUCCAUCCCUGGCAUGGCCCCUCCCUCCCAGCAAACCCCCGAUACUCCUGUUUGUGAGACAGGCAAGUAGGGAUGCUCGUGCUAGGGAAAUUGUUUCUAGGGCCCUCACAGUGCAUGUAUGCGGCUGUAAUGGUGUACAUGGGUCAAAGCAGGAGAAAGAAUAUCUCCCAUAAAGUUACCCCUUCAUUGUUAAUUUGUAGAUCUGUAACCUCUCCUCUAUCUCCUUUCAUAUCCUCCUGGCUUCAAGCGUCUUUAUUUUAAUUUCUUACCCCAGUUUUUUCUCUGCAUUUCCCUCACCCUCUUUUCUUUGUUCUUCUCUUUUUUUCUCCUGUGUGUGUGUGGGGGUGUGUUUAAAAUAAUUUGCCUUUGCUGCUUGUUUCUUUCCUUUUGAGAAAAGAACAGGAUGGAGAUCAGGCCAGUCAAACAAUUUCAUACUGAGUUUAAAAGCAAACCAAACCCAGGUUUCUUUGUGUUUCAGUUCCUUUUGCUAGUGUAAGUAGCUGCAGGUGGCACAUUUUACAAAUCUGCUCAGUAGAAUGCAAAGUUAUUAGCAGCUAAUGCUCAUGUUGGUGAAGAGCCCAUCAAGGCUUCAGAUAUUAUUUACAUGCAAGAAAGUCUCCAAUAGUGAUUUUUUUAAAGGAAAACUUUUUGCCUUUAUGGCAAACUAAAAACAGAUAGAAGCUAUGAAGUGACAGUCAGUGUGAUGAAUUCAUAUAUUCCAAGGCUGGAAGGAACCAGUGUGAUCAUCUAGUCUGACCUCCUGUAUAACACGGGCCAUAGAACUCCCCCAAAAUAAUUCCUAGAGUAGAUCUUUUAGGAAAUCAUUCAAUCUUGAUUUAAAAGUUAUAAGUGAUGGAAAAUCCACCACAACUCUUGAUAAAUUCUUCCAGUGCUAAUUACCCUCGCUGUUAAAAAUUUACACUUUAUUUCCAGUCUGAAUUUUGCUAGCUUCAACUUCCAGCCAUUAAAUCAUAUUAUACCUUUCUCUGCUAGAUUGAAGAGCCCAUUAUGAAAUCCUUGUUUCCCAUGUAGGUACAUAUAGCCUGUAAUCAAGUCACCCCUUAACCUUAUUUUUGUUAACCCAAAUUGAGCUCUUAGAGUGUGUCACUAUAAGGCAUGUUUUCUAAUCCUUUAAUCAGUCUCAUGGCUCUUCUCUGAAACCUCUCCAGUUUACUCUCCAGUGAACUAUGUCCAGUUCUGCUGCUCACUCAAGAUUCCCCUGUUUAUAUAUCCACAGAUCGCAUUAACCGUUUUGGCUGCAGCAUAGCACUGUGAGCUUGUGUUUAGCUGAUGAUCCACCACAACCCCCAAUCUUUUUCAGAGUCACUGCUUCCCAGGACAGAGUUCCCUAUCUUGCAACCUGACAGAGAAAGGGAGGGAAGAGGAAAGCUGCACACAGCUUCUGCCAGGUCACUCAUCAUCUGAUUCCUGGAGCUCCCAGCCUCCUGCUUGUCAAAGGCACCAGCUAACCACUCCGUGUUUCAAUAAAGACAUUGUAUCAGGGGUAUUCUUGGAGGGGAUCCAAGAGAUACUUCAGCUUGGCUCUGACCAUCUUAAACCUGUAGGUCACACACUCCUUACCCCACCCCACAUUCUCUCUUUCUUACCUACACCAUAAAUUUUGUUCCUGUCUUUGGGAUAUUUCUCUUCACGUGUUUAUCUUUGGUUCGCUAACAGACAGACUUUGAAUUGCAACUUUCAGCCCCUACUGUCCUUAUACUUUUGAGGUGUUCUGAUCAUAGGGUUGAAUCUGGCCCAUUAUGGAAAGAGGAUUUGGUUUCCACCCUCACCAGCACCCAGACUUCGAUGAAUGCUGGGAUAUGGGGGGCGAGGGAUGGUUCAGGCACAUAUCAAGUUUCUUGUUUCUAAAAUCCAAAUGUCUCUUAACUGGUGGGUUGAGACAAAUUCCACCUGUCAUUUCAGAGAAUGGAGAAAUAGCCCCUCAUCUGAGGGCUGGGCAGGUAUGUGAAAUGUAACAUUAAAUAACAAAGCAAUAUACACUCUGGUUUUGGAAUUACAGGCAGAUGGAAUUGGGGAGCUGAAACCUGCUCUCUAGCCUACAUGCUGUCUCUUUAUGUUCUUGCCAAGCACAUCUUGCAUCUUUAUCUUCCCUAGUCCCUGUGGGGGAACUACAGGGAACGAUGGAAGCCGUUCUCUUCUCCUGCUUCCAAAGCAAACUCCUCUCAUUUUUGAGUCAUGACUCAGAAUGCUGUGUGGCUUAUGAGGAAGUGAUCAAACAGCUGGCACCUACAAUUUGGGCUCCCUUACUUAGACUCACUUUAGGAAUCCAGCUGGAGUCUAAAUACAGCAGGUCAUAUUCAUCCCUGGUGAACCUCCCAUUGACAUCAGUGAAGUUAUAUCAGGGAUUAAUUUGGCUCACUGACUGUACAGUAUUUCAAAACCAAAACUGAGGCACUCUCUGGCUCUGAGGCUAUGGUGCAUGAAGCAUUUUUCCUGGAGAGCACAACUAGGCUGGUAGUGACUGAAAGCUGUCACCACCCGAGCAAAGGCUGUUUCAGAAGUUACUUGGUGAGCUCAUUCCUAUUCCUAGCAAUCUGGUGUCAAUAUCGUCGCUGUUAGUCUCUGGUCAAGGACUAAAUGGAAUAAAAGAUGAAAUUAUCUUCUUGCCUCCAGAGGUGUUCCCUCCAGAUUUAGUGUGAGCAACAUGCCAAUACUUAUGUUAUACCUCAUUUAUGGAUAAAGAGCUUCAGGGCUGUCAAGCCAAAAAAUUUUCUCAAUACCAAAUAUUAAUUCUCCACUUAGCCACUGAGAAAUCUGAAAAAGGUACACACUUCUUUCUCCCAUAGAUUACACUAGCACCCAGCAAUGCAUGAGUUCACCCUGCUGGCUCUCCUGUUCCCACAGUCAUUGUUGACUGGUGCAUACUCAGAGGACUGACUCGCCUCUCACUCACCCUAGUUUCAUAUCUGUGAAGCUCCACCAUCUUCUGUGGAGCCGCUUCUGAUUUACACUGGUAUACAUGAGAGGGGAUUGAGGUUCAAGGUAUUCAACAGGGGAUUAAAAUAGGCUUCCAUGCCAUAAGAAAGAGAAAAAGAAUGUUUGCCAAAUAGACAAGGUCAAACAAUAAAAAGAGAAAUGUUCAUUCCAAGUCUCUUUACUGGCUAUUGCAACAGGUCUCAGAGACUCCAAAUAUAAAUAUGUAAAUAACAAAGUUGACAUUUAACACCUCAGUUAAUUGAAACUAAUCUGUUGCAACAUAAACAGCAGGAGGAAGAGACUCCAGUGUACCUGACUACCUUGCAGUGAUCCCAUUUAGCAGUUAAAGGCAUGUUGGAAUAGGUGUUCUCUGUCUCAUAUAAAAAGGGUGUAGCUAGGACCAAAGGGUGUAGCUAGGACCAGUUUUCCACGAAAAGCUCAUUAGCCAGCAUAUGUAUUAACCCUGUUCAGGAAUUUUGUUGCUGUAAACAGGGAGUGCUGCUCCAGCCACCUCGUGUAAUAAUGGAUUACCAACCAGCAAUUACAUUUUAUUGUAUUCAGCUCUUAGCUGCCAAAAGAUUGGGGAUUGCAGGGCUGAGUUUAAGACUCAAUUAAGAGAAGGGCUCGUGAAGUAAUCAUAGCAACUCAUGGUCUGAUUGCCUAACAGAGGGGAGGCACCACCUGAUUUUUCUCCCCAUUCUAGGGGAAAGAACCAGAAGGAAACCCUGUGUUUAAGGAAGCCAUUGUGGCAGCUUUACUGCAUGAAUAUUUUAAAGCCAUUGCUGGAGAGAGUGACUUUUUCUCCAUGUGAUAUGCAGCAGAUUCCUUCAGCAAGAAGGGAGGACAAAAUUUAGCAAAGUCCCUUGUGCUCUCUCUUUCCUCUUCCGUCCCUUUGCUCCCUUGUUCCCCUUCAGUGGGCUUGGACCAGGUGUAACCAAGGAUAGAAACGGGGUCCAGAGGUUCUACAAUGAAUAAUUCCCACUAGGAUCUGAGCCAGUGGCCCUAGGUGUUCGUUUGGUAAAGGGCUACAGAGGUAUUCACCUUGACGUAGAAUGCUUUAUGCCUGACUCUACAUCCUGUUGCCCUGUCUUUUGCCCAUUUCAUAUCAGUGGAGUUCCAUUGGCAUAAAACAAAUGGAACAAGGUGGAAUAUUGGACCCUCUGUUUUACUCUGCUAAACUGAAUCCUUCCUUGAGAAUUAGAUUGUUUUUAGGUUGCACUGGGGCAUACCCUGAGCUGAUGUACAUUGAUAUAGCUUCAGUGACUUCACAGGAGCCAGGCUGGUUUAUGCCAGCUAGAGAUCUGGACCAGUAUGUUCAGAAAGUGUCCCAGUUGCUUCAGUUCUUAUCUUCUUCCCAGCCCAAAUCUCUGGGUGGGAUGCUGUGCUGAGCUUCUUAGGGUACGUCUACACAGCCAAAAAAAAAGCCAAAAAACAAACAAACCUGCCGCAGGAACUUGGGUUCACGGGACUUGUGCUGCAGGGCUAAAAAUAGCAGUGUAGAUGUUCAGGCUUGGACUGAGGC